rnacentral:rRNA from 1 species
CAGUAGCCGCGGUAAUACAGAGGAUGCAGGCGUUAUCCGGAAUGAUUGGGCGUAAAGCGUCUGUAGGUGGCUUUUCAAGUCCGCUGUCAAAUCCCAGGGCUCAACCCUGGACAGGCGGUGGAGACUACCAAGCUAGAGUACGGUAGGGGCAGAGGGAAUUUCCAGUGGAGCGGUGAAAUGCGUUGAGAUCGGAAAGAACACCAACGGCGAAAGCACUCUGCUGGGCCGACACUGACACUGAGAGACGAAAGCUAGGGGAGCGAAUGGGAUUAGAGACCCCGGUAGUCCCUGUCUCUUAUAC